rnacentral:rRNA from 1 species
CAACCUGCCCCUGACUCUGGGAUAAGCGCUGGAAACGGCGUCUAAUACUGGAUAUGUGACGUGACCGCAUGGUCUGCGUCUGGAAAGAAUUUCGGUUGGGGAUGGGCUCGCGGCCUAUCAGCUUGUUGGUGAGGUAAUGGCUCACCAAGGCGUCGACGGGUAGCCGGCCUGAGAGGGUGACCGGCCACACUGGGACUGAGACACGGCCCAGACUCCUACGGGAGGCAGCAGUGGGGAAUAUUGCACAAUGGGCGCAAGCCUGAUGCAGCAACGCCGCGUGAGGGACGACGGCCUUCGGGUUGUAAACCUCUUUUAGCAGGGAAGAAGCGAAAGUGACGGUACCUGCAGAAAAAGCGCCGGCUAACUACGUGCCAGCAGCCGCGGUAAUACGUAGGGCGCAAGCGUUAUCCGGAAUUAUUGGGCGUAAAGAGCUCGUAGGCGGUUUGUCGCGUCUGCUGUGAAAUCCGGAGGCUCAACCUCCGGCCUGCAGUGGGUACGGGCAGACUAGAG